rnacentral:rRNA from 1 species
AUUGAACGCUGGCGGCAUGCUUUACACAUGCAAGUCGAACGGUAACAGGUUAAGCUGACGAGUGGCGAACGGGUGAGUGAUGCAUCGGAACGUGCCCGAUCGUGGGGGAUAACGCAGCGAAAGCUGCGCUAAUACCGCAUACGAUCUGAGGAUGAAAGCGGGGGACCGUAAGGCCUCGCGCGAUCGGAGCGGCCGAUGUCAGAUUAGGUAGUUGGUGGGGUAAAGGCUCACCAAGCCGACGAUCUGUAGCUGGUCUGAGAGGACGACCAGCCACACUGGGACUGAGACACGGCCCAGACUCCUACGGGAGGCAGCAGUGGGGAAUUUUGGACAAUGGGCGCAAGCCUGAUCCAGCCAUGCCGCGUGCGGGAAGAAGGCCUUCGGGUUGUAAACCGCUUUUGGCAGGAACGAAACGGCGACCUCUAAUACGGGUCGUUAAUGACGGUACCUGCAGAAUAAGCACCGGCUAACUACGUGCCAGCCGCCGCGGUAAUAC